rnacentral:rRNA from 1 species
UACGUAGGGUGCAAGCGUUGUCCGGAAUUAUUGGGCGUAAAGGGCUCGUAGGCGGUCUGUCACGUCGGGAGUGAAAACUCAGGGCUUAACCCUGAGCCUGCUUCCGAUACGGGCAGACUAGAGGUAUGCAGGGGAGAACGGAAUUCCUGGUGUAGCGGUGAAAUGCGCAGAUAUCAGGAGGAAUACCGGUGGCGAAGGCGGCAUCCUGGACCAUUACUGACGCUGAGGCGCGAAAGCUAGGGGAGCAAACGGG